ensembl:rRNA 5S_rRNA 5S ribosomal RNA
GCUUAAGACCAUACCAGCCGAAGAACGCCCGUUCUCGUCUGAUCUCGGAAGCUAAGAAGGCUUGGACCUGGUUAGUACUUGGAUGGGAAACCUCCUGGGAAUACCAGGUGCUGUAAGCU